CUGGUGACCACACAGUACCUCCUUCAAGAACUAGGAGACUAUUAUUACGUUUGAUGGGAUUGGAAACCUCAAAAAGGAUCCAUCUAACAAUGAAGAAAGAGUUACAUAGUCUACAGAGGAUGUAUUUUGUCUCAGCAACGAGAGAAAAGUAGGAUAGAGUCUUUCAAGGCCCAUCCAAGCAGUGUCUUCAGUGUGGACUGUGGAGAAAUCCAAAAUUAGAGAAUAUGCAUGUGAAGAGUACAGAGAUUUUGAGCAUUCUGCAAAAGAUACAAGUAGUGAACUGGCUUUUGAAAUUCCGCAUGGAGAAUAUGUCCCAACAACCACGAAUUACAUCCAGACAGCGCCAUCUACCAGUAGCACUCCAAACUGCAAAAGCGAAGCGAAAGCAGAAGAAGCUGUGCGAACUGGAGGACCACCACAAGCUCUGGGCUGAAGCGUGAGCACAUUUCCAAGACGAAGCAUAAAUACAUGCAUGAGUUACUGAAUCAGCUUGGGGAUUUGAAUGUGUUCUAAGAAGUCAAAGAGAAAAAUCUGCUUACAAACAUAAACAAUAAAGAGUUGUAAAUAUUAGUUAUUUGCCUCAAGGUAUUUCUUUUUU
rnacentral:lncRNA from 1 species